UACAGAGGGGGCAAGCGUUAAUCGGAAUUACUGGGCGUAAAGCGUGCGUAGGCGGUUAUCUAAGUCGGGUGUGAAAUCCCCGGGCUCAACCUGGGAAUUGCAUUCGAUACUGGAUAGCUAGAGUUCGGCAGAGGGAAGCGGAAUUUCGGGUGUAGCGGUGAAAUGCGUAGAUAUCCGAAGGAACAUCAGUGGCGAAAGCGGCUUCCUGGACCAGAACUGACGAUCAGGCACGAAAGCGUGGGGAGCAAACAGG
rnacentral:rRNA from 1 species